CGAGUGGCGAACGGGUGAGUAACACGUGGGUGAUCUGCCCUGCACUUCGGGAUAACACCGGGAAACCGGUGCUAAUACCGAAUAUUGAAACAUAAGUGGCAUCACUGAGUUUUGAAAGAAUUUCGGUGGAGGAUGACUUCGCGGCCUAUCAGCUAGUUGGUGAGGUAAUGGCUCACCAAGGCAACGACGGGUAGCCGGCCUGAGAGGGCGACCGGCCACACUGGGACUGAGACACGGCCCAGACUCC
rnacentral:rRNA from 1 species